rnacentral:rRNA from 1 species
UGGGCGGGACGGGUGAGUAAUGUCGGGGAAACUGCCCGAUGGAGGGGGAUAACUACUGGAAACGGUAGCUAAUACCGCAUAACGUCGCAAGACCAAAGAGGGGGACCUUCGGGCCUCUUGCCAUCGGAUGUGCCCAGAUGGGAUUAGCUAGUAGGUGGGGUAACGGCUCACCUAGGCGACGAUCCCUAGCUGGUCUGAGAGGAUGACCAGCCACACUGGAACUGAGACACGGUCCAG